rnacentral:rRNA from 1 species
UAGAAUUUUAUAUUAACUUUACCUAGCGGUUAAUGCUGGUUUUUUGUUAAUAUUUGGUUGGGAGGAUUAUUAAAUUUAACAAACUUUAUAUCAUUAUAAACUUUGAUUUAAGAAAAUAUAAUGACCUUCAAUUUGAAAUAGUUAGAGUAAAUUACCUUAGGGAUAACAGCGUAAUAUUUUUUUAUAGACCUUAUAGAAAAAAAUGGUUGCGACCUCGAUGUUGAAUUAAGAUAAAUUUUAAAUGCAGGAGUUUAAUAAUUAAGU